rnacentral:rRNA from 1 species
GACGAACCUUGCAACCGUUAUUCGGAAUCACUGGGCUUAAAGGGUGCGUAGGCGGUGCAGUAAGUUGGGUGUGAAAUACCUCGGCUUAACCGAGGAAUUGCGCCCAAAACUACUGUGCUCGAGGAAGAUAGAGGUGAGCGGAACUUAGGGUGGAGCGGUGAAAUGCGUUGAUAUCCUAAGGAACACCGGUGGCGAAAGCGGCUCACUGGAUCUUAUCUGACGCUGAGGCACGAAAGCCAGGGUAGCAAACGGG